rnacentral:rRNA from 1 species
GAACGCUGGCGGCAGGCCUAACACAUGCAAGUCGAGCGGUAGAGAGGUGCUUGCAUCUCUUGAGAGCGGCGGACGGGUGAGUAAUGCCUAGGAAUCUGCCUAGUGGUGGGGGAUAACGUUCGGAAACGGACGCUAAUACCGCAUACGUCCUACGGGAGAAAGCGGGGGAUCUUCGGACCUCGCGCCAUUAGAUGAGCCUAGGUCGGAUUAGCUAGUUGGUGAGGUAAUGGCUCACCAAGGCGACGAUCCGUAAACUGGUCUGAGAGGAUGAUCAGUCACACUGGAACUGAGACACGGUCCAGACUCCUACGGGAGGCAGCAGUGGGGAAUAUUGGACAAUGGGCGAAAGCCUGAUCCAGCCAUGCCGCGUGUGUGAAGAAGGUCUUCGGAUUGUAAAGCACUUUAAGUUGGGAGGAAGGGUAGUAACCUAAUACGUUGCUACUUUGACGUUACCGACAGAAUAAGCACCGGCUAACUUCGUG